CAGCAGCCGCGGGAAUACGAAGGGUGCAAGCGUUAAUCGGAAUUACUGGGCGUGAAGCGUGCGUAGGCGGUUUGUUAAGUCUGCUGUGAAAUCCCCGGGCUCAACCUGGGAAUGGCAGUGGAUACUGGCAAGCUAGAGUGUGUCAGAGGAUGGUGGAAUUCCCGGUGUAGCGGUGAAAUGCGUAGAGAUCGGGAGGAACAUCAGUGGCGAAGGCGGCCAUCUGGGACAACACUGACGCUGAGGUACGAAAGCGUGGGGAGCAAACAGGAUUAGAGACCCCGGUAGUCCCUGUCUCUUAUAC
rnacentral:rRNA from 1 species